GCUGUGCCCGGCAGAAAGGACGUGGGCUGCAUAGGAGCUGGUAGGACCCGCCUCACUCCACAGAGCUCCCCCCACAAGGUGCGCAGCCUGCUCCUGCGUGAGAGCCCUUGGGUUUUCCAGCUGAAGCCGGCCAUUCCGCGCAGACAGGACCGAGGAUGGAGAGGCUGGUGUUCGGGAGGUUCUUCUGUCAUCUCUCUACCUACAGACUGAUUUGGUUCUUGGCUGCAGUGACGCUAUGCAGGGCACAAGUGGUGACUCAAGAUGAAAAAAAGCUGCUGAACACACCUGCUUCCUUACGAUGCUCUCUGGGAACUUCCCAGGAAGUCUUGGUUGUGACAUGGCAGAAAAUCAAGGCUGCUAGCCCAGAAAACAUGGUCACCUUCAGCAAGUCCCAUGGUGUUGUGGUCCAGCCAGCCUAUAAGGACAAGAUAAACAUCACUGAGCUGGGACUCCAGAACUCAACCAUUACCUUCUGGAAUACCACCCUGGAGGAUGAGGGAUGUUACCAAUGCCUCUUCAAUACCUUUGGUUCUGGGAAUGUCUUAGGAAAAGCCUGCCUCACUCUAUUUGUACAGCCCACAGUAUUCCUCUACUAUAAAUUCUUUGAAGACCACCUAAAUAUCACUUGCUCUGCCAAUGCCCGCCCAGCCCCUGUGAUCUCCUGGAAGGUCUCUGGGUCAGGAAUGGACAACAGUACUGAGAUUCUUUCACAUCCCAAUGGGACCACAUCUGUCACCAGUGUCCUCCAUGUCAAAGACCCCAAGAGUCAGGUGGGAAAAGAGGUGAUCUGCCAGGUGCUGCACCUAGGGACUGUGACCAGCUUCAGGCAAACUGUGAACAAAGGUGUUUGGUUUUCAGUUCCACUACUGUUAAGUAUUGUUUCCCUGAUAAUUCUUCUGAUUUUAAUCUCAAUCUUACUGUACUGGAAACGUCGUCGGACCCAAGAUCGAGAGCCCUAGAGGAGUCAGAGAACCCUGAAAGUUAUUUUAUGGUCUCCUUGAAUCUGAUGCAGGAGGAAAGCAGGAGAAAAAGGGUCAUUCUCCAAGGGACCUGAAAGAGCAAAGGUGGUGGGAGUAUAAGGCCUGAAAAUUUCAAGACUUUCUACUGCCAUCGAAGUUACCCACUGCUUGUGAACUGAAAUGAACCUGGCGCCCCCUUGAGGACAGUGUUCUCCUGCAGCCCCCUGCAGUGGUUUUGCUUUCCUUGGACCACUGACCCUGAGUAUGGCAGUGUGGCGUGGGGAGGUACCUCUGUUGCCUCUCAGUGCCAUUUCUAGGUCGUUUUCCUUUCUGACUCCGGGAAAAGCCUUUUCUUUGAAUCUCAACCCAUCAAUGUACUAACCCCUCCUCUUUCUUAUAGAAGACUUUCUAUCUCCCUCCGGUAAUUCCCCCUGAUUCCUUGAAGUUUUUCAUUCCUGGUUGACUGCCACUGUCUCCUAAGCUACUUCUGUCAUAAUUAUUGGUUACAACAGUAUGUACAUAGGUGAUUCAUUCAAUUUCCUGGCCUCUUCCCCUCCGGUAACCUGGUGCUCACUCUACCUCGGGCCCUUCGUUCUGUGCUCAUAUCCUAAUCUUUUUGUUAUUAUAGAAAUUGCUACUCAUUCAUGACCUCAUUUUCACAUUUCCCACUGCCGUAAGACAACCUGCUGUUUAUUUCCUCAAGUACUCCAACUGUAACUAUUCUGUAUUUGUGGUUCUCAACUGAGGGCAGUUUUAACACACACACCCUAACCCCCCAGGAGACACUUGGAAAUGUCUGGAGACAUUUAUGGUAGUCACCACUGGAUCCUAAGAGAAUGCUAAUGGAACCUAGUAAGUAGAGGCCAGGAAUGCUAUUAAACAUCCUACAAUGCGUGGGACAGCCCUCCACAGCAAAGAGUUAUCCAGUCCAAACUGUUAAUAGUGUGAGGUUGAGAAAGUCUGCUUAAUGUGAUCGGGUUCUACAGUCCAGUGAUUCUACCAUGGUGUUAUGGAUUGAAUUGUGUCCUCCCAAAAAAGAUACAUUGAAGUCCUAACCUUUGGUUCCUCAGAAUGUGAACUUAUUUGAAGACAAGCUCAGUGCCAAUAUAAUUAGUUAUGUUAAAAUUGGGUCAUGGUGGAUUAGGCUGGACCUCUAAUCCAACAUGACUGGUAUCCUCAUAAAAAGAAUGCCAUUUGAAGAGAGAGACUCAGGGAGAAUUCCGUGUGAAGAUGGAGGAUUGGAGUGGUGCAUCUACAAGUCACGGAAUGCCAGCGAUUACCAGCAAGCAACCAGAAGUUAGGAUGAGGCAAGGAAGGAUUGUUCCCCAAGGGUGUCGGAGAGAACAUGCCCUGCUGAUACGUUGAUUUUGGACUUCUAACCUCCGGAACAGUGAGCCAUAGGGUCUCCAUCUACACGUGCAUGAAUGUGAGGAAGCUUUAAAGCAGAUCACGAGGAAACAUACUUGAAUGGAAUAAAACUUGCUGCUGGCCCUCCCAGACUACUUCAGACUCCUCCUGCCUGACCACUUCUCCUACCAGGCCUUCUCCCAGAUUCAGUAGGUUCAACCAUAAAGAUUUUCUGUUCCUCUCACGCAUCCGGGCCUUCCUUGGCAUUUGCUAUUUCCUCUACCUCAAUUAUGAACCUUCUUUGUCUUACCCACUUCUAUACUUCCAAUGUCCAAACAGUACCUUCACAUAAUAGCCACUCAGAGAACACGUGUGGAUACCUGAAUGGAGAACAGGAAGAGAAAGAACCUCUUUCAACAGCCUCUUCAGCAUUUUUCACUGCAGUUCACUCAAGGAGCGGAGGGGACCCUCUUGGACAGCACCAGACUUGCUUUCUGCCUCCUGCACAGGAAAGGUCUCGCCACCAUCCUUCAUGCAGCUUUCUGGAAAGUUCACAAAGUAAAGACUUUUAAAGGUACAGAUGGACUCUGUGUACUUGGUCCUUUUUUUUUUAUACUGGGUGUCCAAUGUCCUACCUAACCCCACAGAAUAGAGGCCGAAUAAAGGAGGAUUUCGGCUGCCUUUUUUAUUUACUUUUUACUGACUUUUCUAUUUUCUCUGUGACCUGGAGCAACUCAUUGAUUUUUGUACAUCUCUUUCCUUACACAUAAAAUUGGUUAAAGACAAUAUUUGGCUCAUCAGGUUGCAGUGAAUAACAAAGAUAAUGUUUUUUAUGAUUUUGUAAAGUUCCUCCAGAGGUAUAUCCUCAAUCAAUGUUAACUGUAUUGUGGUUUCUGGUGAUGCUAUUAUUAGCUAUGAAAUGAAGGAAAGUCUCACUUGGUGGAUUUCAAACUGCAUUUCAGAUGACUGAAGUUUUCUUAGAGGUAUUGCAAAUUCUGAGAAUGUUUAAUUCUAUUUUUAAUAAACAUUUUAGUUUUUUUUUUUUUAAAGAGACUUUAGUUUUAAGUUCACAGAAAAAUUGAGCAAAACAGAUGAGGUUUCCCACAUUACCUUGCCCACUCUCCCUAUACAGCUUCCCCUAUUAACACUCUUCACCAGGGUGGUACAUGUGUUAUAGUCAACUAACCUACACUGACAUAUCAUUAUCGCCCAAAGUCCAUACUGUAUAUUAGGGUUCACUCUUGGUGUUGUACAUUCCAUGGAUUUUGACAAAUGUAUAGGCAUACCUUGAAGGUAUUGCAGGUUUGGUUCCAGACCACCAUGAUAAAACGAAUAUUGCAAUAAAGCAAGUCACACAUAUUUUUUUUUGGUUUCCCAGUGCAUAUAAAAUUAUGUUUACACUAUACCGUAGUCCAUUAAGUGUGCAACAGCAUUAUGUCUUAAAAAAAAUGUAUAUACCUUAUUUAAAAAAUACUUUGUUGUUAAAAAAAAAAAAAAAAAGCUAAGCAUCAUCAGAGCCUUCAGCCAGUCAUAAUCUUUUGGAGGUUUUGCCUUGAUGUUGCACUGCUGACCAGGGUGGUGAUUGCUGAAGGUUGGGGUGGCUGUGGCAAUUUUUAAAAAUAAGACAACAAUGAAGUUUGCCAAAUCAACUGGCACUUCCUUUCACAAAUUAUUUCUCUGUAGCACACAAUGCUGUUUAAUACCAUUUUACCCACAGUAGAACUUCUUUUAAAGUUGAGGUCAUUCUUCUCAAACCCUGUCACUGCUUUAGAAACUAAGUUCAUGUCACAUUCUAAAUCCUUUGUUAUCAUUUCAACAAUCUUUAUAGCAUCUUCCCCAGAAACAGAUUCCAUCUUGAGAGACCAUUUUCUUUGCUCAUCUAUAAAAAGCAACUUCUCACCCUUUAAAGUUUUAUCAUGAGAUUGCACUAAUUCACUUAUAUCUUCAGGCUCCACUUAUAAUAAUAAUAAUAUAAUGUAUAACAUAUAACAUAUAAUAUAUAGUAUAUAAUAAUAAUGGCACCCUCAAUUAUAAUAGUAACAUCACUGAUCAUAGAUCAUCAUAACAAAUAUAAUCAUAAUGAAAAAGUUUGAAAUAUUGGAAGAAUUAUCAAAAUGUGACAGAAACAU